GUGGGACGCGGCACCUACGGGCACGUCUACAAGGCGAGGCGGAAAGAUGGGUAAGAGCGCGGGCGGGGAGUGGGCUCGUCCGGUCUCCUCCACUGCUGAGACCCGGAGGGCUGGGUGGGUCGGAGCCCACGGGAAGAGGCGGCGUGGGUCGCAGAGCGACGUCCUGGGGCCAACUCGGAGGCACUGGUGCUGCCGCCCCCCGCUGGCCGGUCGCGCCCCUCCAAGUCGCACAGCGUAGCCCCGUCGGGGGCGUCGGUCCCGCCUGGAGUCACUGUUGCGAGCUUAACAGCGGGCGGCGGGACCCGGUGGAGACCGCGCUUGGAGGUGGAGUUUAGGGGUCUGGUCCCGGGGGGACUCUCGAGGGCUUGGCUGAAGAGUUACCGGUUUGGCCCUGUGCUGGUGACGGUCGUGGUGGAACUUCCAAUCGGCGCAGCGCCUUCCCGGGGCGGCGGUUUGAAAGCUCGCGGGGGCGCCUCCCGUCUGGUGGCCCUGCGCUUGGGGUCCUGACUGGCCCCUCUGGUCUGACUUCCUCGACGUUGCCAACCCAGCCUACAUCCCUGGUGUUUACCUGGGGACU
rnacentral:lncRNA from 1 species